ensembl:lncRNA
CUCACUACAUUUGUUUGGGAGGGGAAAGAAAUUAAAAGCAGGUGAAAUUGGGUACAGCACUGGAAGAUGUUAGGUUAAGUGACUGCUGGUUGUGCUUUGCUGGAAAAUGUGUCCUGAAACCACCCAAGUCUUUUAAUGAGAUCUGAAGUAGUUAAUUACAUGAUCUUAUCCUGCUUCUGUAGGUGUCAACAAAAACAUUCAUUACAUUCAAAAUGAAGACAACAGGAACAAACCUUGCAAGAUUUCUGAAGCUUUCAGUUACUCAUGCACCAAAGAAAUGUUCCGUGUUCAACAGUGGUGAUGGCACAUAUAGGAGCGCGAUCCUCCGAAGAUGCAACCUGGAAUUACUCUCUCUGUUUCAUUGGAGUUGAUAUGAUUAAUAAAAGCUGAAGAUCUGGCAUAACUUCUCUUUUAUAACUGCAUCCUCAGCGUGUACUGUACUUAAAUCAUGUUAUUUGUUAUACCUAACAGAUUUUCUCUUAGCUGGCAAUUCAUUUCUAGCCUUGAAAGAGAUAACUUAAAAGCAUCAUAUUGGCAGAGAUGGGGAGGGUAGGUAGAGAACAUUUUGGUAGUCAGGUGUGACUGGUGGCAGUACUGAAUAAGAAGAUCUGACUUAAGUACUGCCCAUCCAGAGGUAACAGUUGCUAUUCUCAAAGCUGCCGAGUUCUUAGAGUGGCCCUUUUCCUGAAAUUCUCUUUGUUUCUGGUCCUUCUGCUCUCAAAGCAGCCAGAAAUGAUCUUCCCUUUUAGGUAAUCAGUUCCUCAGGCGAUAUUUAAGACCUUCUAGGAUGCUCUUGAGGCCAUUAUGUGUAUAUCUCAAAUUAACCGGGUGAGGUUAUUUCAGCAAUGGAGGAGGCAUGGGGUGGUGGUGAUGUACGUCUCAGUGCCUUGUGCUGUGGCCGUGCAGAGCUGACAUAGGAGCAUCCCCGAGUCCUGCUGCAGCCUCUUGCUUAUGCAGGGUUUGAGAUCCCCUCACACAACACAAGGACAACUGAAAAUUUUGCCAGCAGCCUUCCCAGGCUGCUUCUGAAUUAUGCUGCAGAAAGAGCAUUUGAGUAAUCCCUGAGCAAAUGUCUGCACAGCUCUUACUGCCUGUGUGGCUCUUGGGAAUUAAAGCCAGGUCCGGCUUUCCCU